rnacentral:misc_RNA from 1 species
CUGUGAGAUUACAUAUGCAUAUAGUGUUAAUGCUAUAAGAGUGUAGUAUCUACUCACAAAGUUAUCAGGUUAAAUAGUUUUAUCAACUAAUAAAAAUGUUAUUGCAUAAUUAAUGUUAUACUGUAGCCCUGCCACGAUAUCCAGCGAAAAUUAUUUUGCUGAGUAUCGGUAGUAAAAGUUAAGAUUAAGAUAUGAUGUUGAGAAUUUUUUUGAGUCGUGCAACAACAUUAACAGCAAACUAUAAUACAAAUCUAUCUUUUUAAAAGUUUGUAU